rnacentral:misc_RNA from 1 species
GAAGUGCGAUAAGCAAUGCGAAUUGCAGAACCGUGAGUCAUCAGAUUUUUGAACGCAACUGGCGCUGGCUGGGUCUCCAGCCAGCAUGCUUGAUUUCAGAUGCAAAGAAAGUUUAAGUGACUAAGCACUGACAGCGUUAGCUGACAAUUCCUACUCC